rnacentral:rRNA from 1 species
AUGACAAACCAGUUCGAGAUGCGUCGAAAAUGGGCAUCAAGCCCAAUGCAUGUGUUCGUCCGUCAGUACAUGAGGCUACAAUUCGACCGGGAAUCAGAUGAAAGCUACCAAGAAAACAAGACAAGGAUUAGUAGUGCUGUGAUGAGGACAAACGUUGCUAUCGAAAGGCACGCGAGUAAGAUUUACACAAGAAAGAUGUUUGAACAAUUUGGUGAGAAUCUAUUUGAAGGUGGAUCAUACCAAGUCGAGGAGAUUGAAAAGAAAAAGAAAAACAUCGCAAGGCACAACGACGCCUUAAAACGAGAGAAGUGGAGUAAGGUCGAAUACGAGGUGACCAUAUCAGAUGAAGUUGACUGGUUUGAAUGUGAAUGCGGGCAGUUUGCCCACAUGGGAAUGUUUUGCUGCCAUGCUUUGAAGGUGAUGAACCACGUUGGUGUACUGGAGAUACCCAAGCGGCACAUCCUAAAAAGAUGGACGAAAGAUGCUAGAGACAUCUUGCCACAACACAUAGUUCACUUUCAAAAGGAUCAGGCUGCGAAUCAAUCUUUUACCUGUCGGAGCUCAACUCUGUACCUGCACGCCAUGGAACUGGUGAGGAUUGGAGAAUCAUCAAUCUCUGCGUACGAGCUCGUAUUUGGGAGGAUCAAGGACUUAAUCAUAGAGGUAUCUUCGCUGGCGGAAAAGACGGAUGGUUUAGGAAUUGAGGAUAGGAUAGCUGCUGAAUCAAGUCGAAAGAACAAUGGCUCGGUAGGGGCAAUCAUAAACAUUGAUGCACAGAUGGGUGACAAUGAGAACCAGCAUGACCGCGUCUGGCAAUUGGGAUGCCCUCGCUGGUUUGUCUGCUCCAAGCAAGAAGCGUGGUGUUGGCCGGCCGUGCUCGAGCAGAGAGAAAGUGUCAUACGAAGGCUUGAGUAA